rnacentral:rRNA from 1 species
UGGGGAAUUUUGGACGAAUUGGGCGAAAGCCUGAUCCAGCAAUGCCGCGUGUGUGAAGAAGGCCUUCGGGUUGUAAAGCACUUUUGUCCGGAAAGAAAUCCUUGGCUCUAAUACAGUCGGGGGAGUGACGGUACCGGAAGAAUAAGCACCGGCUAACUACGUGCCAGCAGCCGCGGUAAUACGUAGGGUGCAAGCGUUAAUCGGAAUUACUGGGCGUAAAGCGUGCGCAGGCGGUUUGCUAAGACCGAUGUGAAAUCCCCGGGCUCAACCUGGGAACUGCAUUGGUGACUGGCAGGCUAGAGUAUGGCAGAGGGGGGUGAGAAUUCCACGUGUAGCAGUGAAAUGCGUAGAGAUGUGGAGGAAUACCGAUGGCGAAGGCAGCCCCUGGCAAGUACUGACGCUCAUGCACGAAAGCGUGGGAGCAAACAGGAUUAGAUACCCUGGUAGUCCACGCUGUAAACGAUGUCGAUUUUGG